GUAGGUGAACCUGCGGAAGGAUCAUUAUUGAAAUAAACCUGAUAGGGUUGCUGCUGGCUCUCUAGGGAGCAUGUGCACACCUUGUCAUCUUUACAUCUCCACCUGUGCACCUUUUGUAGACCUCUCCAGGUCUAUGUUGCUUCAUUUACCCCAAUGUAUGUUAAUAGAAUGUUGCAUUUAUAAUGAAACCUAUACAACUUUCAGCAACGGAUCUCUUGGCUCUC
rnacentral:misc_RNA from 1 species